AGAAUACUUACAUUAGCCUACAGUUGGGCAAAGUCACCCAGCACAAAGCCUAUUUUUAUAAUACAGUAUUGAAUAGUUCAUGUAAUUUAUUGAAUACUGUACUGAAGGUAAAAAGCAGAAUGGUUGUAUGGGAACUCAAUGUA